rnacentral:rRNA from 1 species
GACGAACGCUGGCGGCGUGCCUAAUACAUGCAAGUAGAACGCACAGUUUAUACCGUAGCUUGCUACACCAUAGACUGUGAGUUGCGAACGGGUGAGUAACGCGUAGGUAACCUGCCUGGUAGCGGGGGAUAACUAUUGGAAACGAUAGCUAAUACCGCAUAAUAUUGAUUAUUGCAUGAUAAUUAAUUGAAAGGUGCAAUUGCACCACUACCAGAUGGACCUGCGUUGUAUUAGCUAGUAGGUGAGGUAACGGCUCACCUAAGCGACGAUACAUAGCCGACCUGAGAGGGUGAUCGGCCACACUGGGACUGAGACACGGCCCAGACUCCUACGGGAGGCAGCAGUAGGGAAUCUUCGGCAAUGGACGAAAGUCUGACCGAGCAACGCCGCGUGAGUGAAGAAGGUUUUCGGAUCGUAAAGCUCUGUUGUAAGAGAAGAACGGGUGUGAGAGUGGAAAGUUCACACUGUGACGGUAUCUUACCAGAAAGGGACGGCUAACUACGUG